GCCAGUUUAACAGCUGGGCAAUAGUAUAGACCAUUGCCUUAUUCUAAAUCCCAACUCCAGAGAAGACGUGUACCGCUAUCACAUAAUGCCAUGACCAGUGUGCUGACCUUGCUGUCCAAGGAAAAACUUCAUCUCCUGGCCCCAUAUUCUAGAAGACUGAAGAUUUCAUUCCAUGAAAGGUUUUCUUGCAACCUACAUAGCACUGGCUGGGCAAGCAGAAGUUCUGAGUCGCACUGCGCCUCCCAUGCCAGUGAAGGCAAACUUCUGGCAAAGAACACCAAUGUUAUCACAGCCCCCUGCUCACUGGCUUCUCAUCGUCCUUCCUGCAUCCUGGCCCUGCAGGAAAGCAUGAUAUACCUGGGGUUGUUGGGGAAGGGAAGCUUCUUGGUAUGAAAUGCAGUGGUACGAAAUUAAUGGUGGAGGCUUCUCAUCAGAACAGAAAGUAACAACUCAAGAAACAGCUUUUUCUUCAACACUUCUUGGAAAUGGAACUAGAACUUAUCAGCAACUCCAAAUCACCAGGAAAUAUAUGACUAAUUGUCUGUCUUGUUUCCUGGAAAACGUGCAAAUAAUACACAUUGGUUGAAAUUAACUCCUUAUAAACUCAAUGUAUGCAGGAAAAUAUGUUGAUACAGUAGCUUAAUAGUGAGGAGAUGGCCAGAA
rnacentral:lncRNA from 1 species